UCAUAUGUCUUGAGCGCCUCUCAUAGAUGCACGAGGGGUAGACGCGCGAGACACUGAAAACUGGCGACAACUGGUUUUGGGGGCAGAACAGGAAGCUGGAGUGAAGGAGAAGCGGAACCGAAGCUGGUAGACAGAAGCAGGUCUGACCUCAGGCACGGAAAUGCUGAAAAUAGGGAAGCGGUGAAGGAGGAAGAGAUGAGAUGAUGUCGUCUGGAACCAGUACCUCCAGAGGAGGAAACCAGCAGACCUGGGAACGGCUUCACCCGCGUGCCUCGCAUAGCUUAGCAGAGGCCGCCGCCAACGUCUGUUUCAGUGAGACGGGCGGUAUGCGGUGGUGGAGUGGGAGGAGGAGGAGGAGGAAGAUAAUUUGUUGGAAGAAUGUUCUGCCACAGGUAUGCGCUUGGGUGAAGGAUGAAAAAAAAGACUUUGGCAUGAGAACAAGCCCCCCACCCCCCCAACAGCCAUCCUGCAAGCCCUGCCAUCGAGCUCAUAUUAGAGAAAGCCACACUGCAUGAAGUUCUCCCUUCGGUUUGACUGCGUGCACAUUGUGCAAGCGGUGGCCAGUUGCAGUUUCAAAGAAAAAGAAAAAGCAAGAAUGCGUCUGACUAGCUGUUGCAUGACAAGUGCAUUUUAGGUGCUGUUCUUUUUAAAAUUAUUUUAUUUACUUCCAGUUCAAAAAAGAUUUAGCCUUGCUGCAAAACAAUUUACAAAACUCUGGUGCAUACUUUGCAGAAGUACCUACUGGUAACUUGCUAGUUACUCAUACUUUUUUCUUAACAUACUGCUGCAGGUCAUGCACUUUCACCAAAACUUUUCAAAACAUGUUUCCUGUCCUUUCAGAAACACGAAUGGUACAAAAUCAACUUUUCUUAUUUGAAAAAGAAAACUGUACCACUUAUUAAGCAAACUCUCUCUAGAAAAGUCUUACAGGGAGGUUGGGCGGAACUUUUGGAGGAAGUGGUUGCUGAUUGGCCAGUCCUUGUCUGCCUGGCCUAGCAACAGCCGUCCCAUGUUGCUUUAAAAAGCAACGAAAACAACGUUUCCCAUAAGUCAGCUGACCGAAAAGUUGCCGGGGGGAGGGGCUGACAGGUUGAAAAUUGAAAGAUUUGGCUCUAACUUCUAAACUGGCCCUCCGGGGGCUGGUCUGUGGAUUGAAACCAGAGCAAACUUGUGGGCUUUAAACGGUCACCGCGACGACAGGGAAUGCAUCCACGUGUUCCAUGACUCCUGGAGAGUCUGGGGAGAGUUAUAAUGCACUGCAGGGCUGGCUGUCUGUGAAUGUGGAAAGUUUGUGUUUGCAGUCGAAUGAAAGUUUUCCAGCUGUGAUCUCAGCCUUGCAGUCAUGUGCAAAGAUCUUUCUUUAUUUAUUUUUUUUAGUGCUGCUGGCUUUUAGCUAAAAGCAUCAGCAACCAGCAUGAGAUAUUAUUAACAUUACUGUAUUAUCUGCACUUUAUAUGCUGUAUGUUUGUUUUGGUUAUUUUAUACAUGACCUUGUACUUAGUGACUUCACCUUCCAUUUCUGCUAAUGUAACAUGAGUGCUGCUGCUAUUACAACAACAGCAGCAACAACAACAACAGCAGAAAUGGUGACCCUUAACAUACAUAGCUAAACACCCCCAGAGUUAUAACCUAAAGUUAUCUCUGAACUGCUUUUUAAAUAACUGUCAUAUAUCUCAAAUAAACCGCUGCUCAUAUCACACGGUCGUUGAGCCCGGGUACUUAUUCUGUCGGUCUGUGUCCCCAUACUGUUUUGAUGGAUGAUUAGAUCCUGCUCAGAGGGCGGUGCUGGUGAGCAGUGGACGAUAAGCUGCAAUCGAGGAAAAAAAAAAAAAACUUU